CGUCGACGCACUUCCGGUGCUCGCGGCUUCCGCUAGGCGGCGCUGCGGCCCCAUGAACGCGGCGCUGGCCGUCAGCCCUCGAGCAUCCUGGGAGUCCCCGUCUUGCCGCCCGCCUCCCUCCUUCCCUCAGUCAAUUCCGGUUUCUUCGCCGCCGUUUCCGGGAGGGAAGGCUAGGGAGAGCGACGCAAAGACGACGUUCCCGAGCGGCUUCGGGCCAAGCGUCCCAGUGCCUUGUGGGAGAUGUAGUUCUUUCGGCGCGGAAGCCGCGGCGCUCGGCCGGCGGAGGACUCCGUUUCCCAGAGGGCCGAGCGCCACGCAAAGAUGGAGGCAGCGGGGCCGCGAUGAACCGAUCUAAAGCGGACACCAUUGGCGUUUGCUUCGUGUACCCUUGCUCUCCUGGAGCAGUUUCUUCACCCCGGGAGUCAUGCAUGGCCCGGAGGAAUGGAGGUCUCGCCUGUGUUUGAUCUGGUACCGGGUGCUCAGAGCCCCUCCUUGCCGGCCUGGCCUGGUCCUCGCCAGCUGCACUUGAGCCACUGAGCAGAGCUGAGCCCGGCGGGGGCACGGGGGGCUUUGCCACCAACAACCUUUGCCAGGCCCCAGCUCUCCAGCACGCAGGUGUCUGCGCCAGCCCCCAGCAGCCCUAGCAGGUGUGGCAAGGCCUCUGGACGCAUGGCUGAGGCGGGGGCAGCCUUGGAGGUCGACGCCCUGCCUUCUGACACCGUCUCCCUCAGUGACUCGGACUCGGACCUUAGCCUGCCCGACACUGCUGAGGUGGAAGCUCUGUCCCCGGGGGGGCUGCCUGGGGGGGACCCGGAGGACUCGGGCCCUGAGGAGCCCCCCGAGCCCCCCCGGGCCCCCCCGGCGCCGUGGUGCAGCCCUUCCACCUGAGAGGCACGAGCCCCACCUUCUCCCAGCGCAGCCACGACAUCUUCGACCACCUGGAGGGGGCGGCCGGGCGGGCUCUGCCCUCUGCGGCCCCGGCCGGUCCGGGCCACAGUGGGGGCUUCAAGCUGCCGCCCCUACCCUCCAGGCGGCCUCCAGCAGGGGCCCGGGGCAGGGCCACUCAGAGCCCUGCUCCUCCGAGGGCGCCCCCCGUCCCCGACUACGUGGCCCACCCCGAGCGCUGGACCAAGUACAGCCUGGAGGACGUGGCCGAGGCCAGUGAGCAGAGCAACCGGGCCGCCGCCCUGGCCUUCCUGGGCCCCCAGAGCCUGGCUGCCCCCGGCGACUACGUGCCCUCCUUCAACCAGGACCCCUCCAGCUGCGGGGAGGGCCGGGUCGUCUUCACCAAACCGGCCCGCACCAGCGAGGCCCGGCCCGAGAGGAAGAGGGGCCUGAGGAAGGCCGGGGAGCCCGGCAGGGCAGCCCCCGGGAGCCCAGGAACGGCGGGCGGUGGCGACGGCCCCGUGGAGCUGGCCCACCUGGCUGGGCCCGGGAGCCCGGAGGCGGCGGAGGAGGGCAGCGGCCCCCGGGGGGGCCUGGUGGAGGUGGCUGUGCCCGAGGGGCUGGCACCCCCCGGGGCAGCAGCGGGCCCCUCGCCCGUGGAGACAGUGGGCUUCCACGGCAGCAAGAAGCGGAGCAGAGACCACUUCCGGAGCAAGGGCCACGGCCCCGAGGCCCCGGGGGGCGCUGAGGCCUGAGCGGAGGCUGCCUGGCUGCUCCCUGACCCGCCGCCCGGGCCUGGGGAAGGGAGCCCGUGGGCCGCCUCUAGGUGGCGCCAGUGGCCCGGGCUGGGCCCUGGUUUCCUGGGGAGCAGAGACUGCGGAGGGUGUGGGCCGGGCGGCGGGAGCCCUGACUCCCCCCGCGCCUGGGGGACAAUAAAGAUUUUGCUUGGUCCUCGG